GUGCUCAUUUCCACAGCAUAUAUACUAACAUUACAAUGAAACAGAGAAGACUAGCAUGGCCUUUGCACAAUGAUGACAUGCAAAUUCCUGAAGCAUUCCAUAUUUUU